UACAGAGGUGGCAAGCGUUGUUCGGAAUUACUGGGCGUAAAGGGCGCGUAGGCGGCCCUCUUAGUCGGACGUGAAAUCCCCAGGCUUAACUUGGGAACUGCGUCCGAUACUGGAGGGCUCGAGUGCGGGAGAGGGAUGUGGAAUUCCAGGUGUAGCGGUGAAAUGCGUAGAUAUCUGGAGGAACACCGGUGGCGAAGGCGGCAUCCUGGACCGACACUGACGCUGAUGCGCGAAAGCUAGGGGAGCAAACGGG
rnacentral:rRNA from 1 species